GUCUAUGGCCAUGCCACCCUAAACAAGCCCAAUGUCUGAUCUCAGAAGCUAAGCAGGGUCGGGCCUGGUUAGUACUUGGAUGGAAGACCACCCAAGUACGAAUACGAGGUGCUGUAGGCA
rnacentral:rRNA from 1 species